rnacentral:rRNA from 1 species
AGAGUUUGAUCCUGGCUCAGGACGAACGCUGGCGGCGUGCUUAACACAUGCAAGUCGAGCGAUGAAGCUUCCUUCGGGAAGUGGAUUAGCGGCGGACGGGUGAGUAACACGUGGGUAACCUGCCUCAAAGUGGGGGAUAGCCUUCCGAAAGGAAGAUUAAUACCGCAUAAUAUAAGAGAAUCGCAUGAUUUUUUUAUCAAAGAUUUAUUGCUUUGAGAUGGACCCGCGGCGCAUUAGCUAGUUGGUAAGGUAACGGCUUACCAAGGCAACGAUGCGUAGCCGACCUGAGAGGGUGAUCGGCCACAUUGGAACUGAGACACGGUCCAGACUCCUACGGGAGGCAGCAGUGGGGAAUAUUGCGCAAUGGGGGAAACCCUGACGCAGCAACGCCGCGUGGGUGAUGAAGGUCUUCGGAUUGUAAAGCCCUGUUUUCUAGGACGAUAAUGACGGUACUAGAGGAGGAAGCCACGGCUAACUACGUGCCAGCAGCCGCGGUAAUACGUAGGUGGCGAGCGUUGUCCGGAUUUACUGGGCGUAAAGGGUGCGUAGGCGGAUGUUUAAGUGGGAUGUGAAAUCCCCGGGCUUAACCUGGGGGCUGCAUUCCAAACUGGAUAUCUAGAGUGCAGGAGAGGAAAGCGGAAUUCCUAGUGUAGCGGUGAAAUGCGUAGAGAUUAGGAAGAACACCAGUGGCGAAGGCGGCUUUCUGGACUGUAACUGACGCUGAGGCACGAAAGCGUGGGUAGCAAACAGGAUUAGAUACCCUGGUAGUCCACGCCGUAAACGAUGGAUACUAGGUGUAGGGGGUAUCAACUCCCCCUGUGCCGCAGUUAACACAAUAAGUAUCCCGCCUGGGGAGUACGGUCGCAAGAUUAAAACUCAAAGGAAUUGACGGGGGCCCGCACAAGCAGCGGAGCAUGUGGUUUAAUUCGAAGCAACGCGAAGAACCUUACCUGGACUUGACAUCCCUUGCAUAGCCUAGAGAUAGGUGAAGCCCUUCGGGGCAAGGAGACAGGUGGUGCAUGGUUGUCGUCAGCUCGUGUCGUGAGAUGUUAGGUUAAGUCCUGCAACGAGCGCAACCCUUGUUAUUAGUUGCUACCAUUAAGUUGAGCACUCUAAUGAGACUGCCUGGGUAACCAGGAGGAAGGUGGGGAUGACGUCAAAUCAUCAUGCCCCUUAUGUCCAGGGCUACACACGUGCUACAAUGGUAGGUACAAUAAGACGCAAGACCGUGAGGUGGAGCAAAACUUAUAAAACCUAUCUCAGUUCGGAUUGUAGGCUGCAACUCGCCUACAUGAAGCUGGAGUUGCUAGUAAUCGCGAAUCAGAAUGUCGCGGUGAAUACGUUCCCGGGCCUUGUACACACCGCCCGUCACACCAUGAGAGCUGGUAACACCCGAAGUCCGUGAGGUAACCGUAAGGAGCCAGCGGCCGAAGGUGGGAUUAGUGAUUGGGGUGAAGUCGUAACAAGGUAGCCGUAGGAGAACCUGCGGCUGGAUCACCUCC